GAUGAACGCUAGCUACAGGCUUAACACAUGCAAGUCGAGGGACCGGCGCACGGUGUAGUAACACGUAUCCACCCUGCCCUUUACUCGGGGAUAGCCUUUCGCAAGAACGAUUAAUACCCGAUAUAAAGGAUGGGGAUGCGUUCCAUUAGGUUGUUGGUGAGGUAACGGCCCACCAAGCCUUCGAUGGUUAGGGGUUCGGAGAGGAAGGUCCCCAAAGUUGGAACUGAGACACGGGCCCAACUCAUAGGGGAGGCAGGAGUGAGUAAGAUUGGUAAAUGGGCGCUAGCCUGACCAAGCCAAGUAGCGUGAAGGAUGAAGGCUUAGGGGUCGUAAACUUGUUUUAGAUAAGAAUAUGUAUUAUAUGAAUAAGGAUCGGCUAACUCCGUGCCAGCAGCCGCGGUAAUUC
rnacentral:rRNA from 1 species